AUUGAGAAAAGUAUUCUAUUUCGAGUUUCUUAGAAUUUGAUGAUGAAAAUGGCGGGGAAGGCAGGGUGAGAUACGAGGUUUGUCGAACCGUGACGUAUAUAGCCGAAUGAGUGUGCGUAUCGCGUUGGAGUAAUGGGUAGCGAUCUGUGCUUUAGAAUCGGUUCAGUAUACCGCGCGUCGUUGUUCGGGGUGGUAAUUUUAUUUUUGUUUUUUCCGGUGAUAUUUUUUCAAGCGACAAUUAUUCGAUUUUUCUCGAGACAUGUGACAGGAUAGUGACAAAAGUGACAGAAGAAAAGGAGAUCGAUCAUAACCGUUUAAAUAUUAAGAUUAAGGUGACGUGUAUAAGAAAAGGGGAAUCAUAAUCGAUAAGAGAAUUCUUUGAUUUUGGAAAGCGGAAAAAAGCUUUAGAAAGGAAGUAAGCAAAACAUAAUUUAUAUUCGAUAUUGGUAUUGCAUUUCUAUGACACCAAGUGUAUUCGUAUGAACAAUGAAAAAUGUAGACAUAGAGAAAGGGAGUGACAGUAAGUUGGCAAUAAUAAGAAGAACAUUGAACGAAAUUUAAAUGAUAUCGCGAUAUCAAGGGGAAGAGGAAAAUAAAGCUAACAGAGGAUCUGUCAACGUAU